GGUCCCAACAUUUUAGGAAUUAGGGGCCAAAAAGGGCCCAAAUAAGCAUUUUCUUGGUUUUUCGCACUAUAACUUUAGUUUAAGUUAAUAGAAAUCUAUGAAAUUUUGACACAAGGUUUAUGACCACAAAAGAACGGUUGGGAUUGAUUUUGGUAGUUUAGGUUUCAACAGUUUAGGAAUUAGGGGCCAAAAAAGGGCCCAAAUAAGCAUUAUUCUUGGUUUUCACACAAUAACUUUAGUUUAAGUAAAUAGAAAUCAAUGAAAUUUAAACACAAUGUUAAUGACUACAAAAGGAAGGUUGGUAUUGAUUUUGGGAGUUUAGGUCCCAACAGUUUAGGAAUUAGGGGCCAAAAAGGGACCCAAAUAAGCAUUUUUCUUGGUUUUCGCACCAUAACGUUAGUAUAAGUAAAUAGAAAUCUAUGAAAUUUAAACACAAGGUUUAUGACCAUAAAAGGAAGGUUGGUAUUGAUUUUGGGAGUUUUGGUCCCAACAGAAUAAGGGGCC
rnacentral:lncRNA from 1 species